ensembl:lncRNA
AAAGCAACACUACCUGCACCCCAGCAGAGAUGGAGUGGAACUCCUGUCGGACAACGUAUGACUAAGAAAGAAUAUGUUCCUGAAAGGCAGAGAAAGCUGCAAGUAAGUGGGACACAAUGUUGCUGUGUAAAGAAGUGGCUGUAGGCUUUCUGGGGUCCCACCUUAUUUUGGACACCAGCGCUGAUGAUGGUGAUCCAUCAGCACAUGGUGAAACUACAGGUCUUUCAUCUUGAGUCAUGUUUUUCACGGUAUGUGUACCCAAGGAUUCGGCAUACUAAGUCCAAUUCCGUGCCGGCUGAGCUACCGAGCAAGCCUGUUACAUCCAGAAAGUGAAACAUAUGGAGCUGG